rnacentral:tRNA from 1 species
GGAAGGGUGGCCGAGUGGUUUAAGGCAGCGGUCUUGAAAACCGCCGUGCCCGCAAGGGUACCGUGAGUUCGAAUCUCACCCCUUCCG